rnacentral:rRNA from 1 species
UACAGAGGUCUCAAGCGUUGUUCGGAUUCAUUGGGCGUAAAGGGUGUGUAGGCGGCGCCGUAAGUCGGGUGUGAAAUUUCGGAGCUUAACUCCGAAACUGCAUUCGAUACUGCGGUGCUUGAGGACUGGAGAGGAGACUGGAAUUCAUGGUGUAGCAGUGAAAUGUGUAGAGAUCAUGAGGAAGACCAGUGGCGAAGGCGGGUCUCUGGACAGUUCCUGACACUGAGACACGAAGGCCAGGGGAGCAAACGGG